rnacentral:lncRNA from 1 species
GCGCCUCCCCGAGCUGAGCCGCGCGUCCCGAGCCCAGCCUCUCCGGGGAGGAGGGACCCGGCGGCGCGGCGUGGGUCGGGAGCGGGCGCCUGGGACUACUUCUCGUUUGAAAGUUUUCAGAGGCCAAAAGUUUGAGCCGGGGCUGCGGAAGGAUCCGGCUCUGGCGGUUGCCGCGCUCGGCGACAACUGGCGACUGAAAUUUGCAUGUGAAUAAGCGGAGGAGCCCGGGGCGGAAUGGGGAGGGCGAGGCCGCGGACAGCCGUGUGCACCGUGCGCUGGGCCGGGCGGGGAGCAGCUGAGGCCACGUUGGGGGACCCCGGGCCCGGGGCAGGGCUCUGGGAGAGUGGCCUAGCCGUGUGUGCGCCCCUAGCCCAGCGGCUUCACUCCCUCCCGAGGGCCCCGUGGCCGCGGCUUUAGGCGUCCAGAGGAUCGAUCGCCGCCAGACAUCCCUGGCCGUGAUUGCCCGAGCACUUGACCGCGAGGGAUGGGGGCGCCGCGGCCUCUGGGCAGGGGACUCCGGGCGCCCCGAGGGAGCAGCCGGGACCAGUGCCUCGCGGACGGAUUGUGCCCCGCUCCCCCAAGGGGGACCCGCGUCGACACGCUCCUCGGUCACCGUCCUCCUCCUGCCCGGGCGCCGCCUGCCUAAGGUGGCCCCAGAAAGCACAAACGGGUCGGGCGGAUCUGCCGCUGGCGCCGGCGCAGCCCUUCCCACGUGCUCCUUCCGGCUGAUUUAUUUCUCCACCACGAUGCCAGGCACGGGCACCCUGUGCCAAGCCUGGUUAAGCGCCAGGAGUCCAAAAUGCCUGCCAUAGUCCCUGCGCAAAGUUCACGGCCUCGUGCCAGGGACAGACAGCGCCCCCUCCCCACCCCAACACAGGGUGGUGAGUGCGAUGGCAGAAGGCGCGUGUCCCGGCGCCCCUCCUGGAGUAGGAGGGCUAAGCCUGCCCUGCGGGGAGACCGAAAGGCUGGGAGGGACCUAGGACUGUGGGGGCCUGGGGGGAGGGCUGCAGAAACCCCAGAGCAUGGUGGCAGAGGCAGGCACAGAAAGCAGGACAAAUCUCACACCUGACCCCAGCAAGCCUUUCCUGGCACACCUCUUGCCAAAUGCUGAGCACUCUGGAAACAGCCAGUGCAGGCGGCCUGUCCCGCCCCUGUAGCUGCUGCUGGGAGCCUCCCUCGCCUGCGUCCUCCCAGAAUCUGGCCUCACUUCUGCAGGCCUGGGGUAACAUCUUGGGGUCAGCGCCCCAGGAGAGGAGGCGCCUGGAGGCAGCAGAGAUGUUUAUGUAACAGCAGCCAGGCAGCCUGGAGGAGCAGAUUUUCCAUAGAAGGAAGCGCGGGGCUGUGCAGCUCCCAGGCUGAGGACUCUGCCCACCACGACGUCCUCUGCUCCUGCAGAGAAGAGAGUGGCCCAUUCGGUGUCCACCCGUCAGGCCACCCAGCAGCCAGGCACGCUCAUAAGCCCGCGUUACGGAUGGUGCGGCCGGGUGCACAGGCCCGAGGGAAGCACAGGCCUCGGCCUCCCAGCUCCCAACCCCUGCACCACCCACAGCCGGGAGUACCCCAUGGACAGCUGUGGCCGAGGAGAAGCCAGGGAUGAGGGGGAUGGGCCUCACCUCCCCACCAGCCUGGGAAGGGGGUAGGCCCCUGGCAAGUAGGUGAGAAGCUUUUUCAUUCACAAGUUGUCCGGGCUCCCCAUUCCUCUUUGUCAGGCCAGCGGGUGUGGGCAGUCGGGGGAGGCUGGGGUCCUGACACAACAGGAGUACAUCUGCUGGCCUAGGGCCUGGAGACCUUCUCCUACAGGUCGGGAGGCAGCCCUGGGCAGCGGGCAUUGCGGGGACUAAAGAGAAACAAGAGCAGGUUGUGUGCAGGGCACCCCAGCCACUCCAGAAACCCAAUGGGAGGGUGGGGGCUAGGACCCCAAGAAGCUGAAUUGGGGUGCAGUGCCGCCAGGCCUCCCCUGUAGGAGUCACUUUGGGCUUCCUGUCCCAACUUGUGGUGGGAGCUGGGGCAAGGUUCCAGGGGUACCCCGAAUGAAUGGGGCUGUUCCCAAGCUGGCCAGGGAGCCUGGAAGCAGAUGAGAUGGGGCCGCAGAGCCUGGUUUGCGGAGGGGAGAGGCAGACGUGUCCUGCAGCCCUCUCUUCUUCAGAGGCCCCCUGCGGGUGCUGAGGGGAGAGUGGCUUAGGCGUUGCACCCCAGGAGACUGAACUGGGUCAGUUCCCCCUUGUUUGCUGCCAGAGAAAUGGGGGUACCAUUGUCAGGGUGAGCUAAGGAGGCCCUGCUGACAUUGGCCCAACCAGGCCCCUCCUUUGCGGCUGCUGUGGGGACUUUCGAGAGCAGAGCACACCCCUAAGUGCGUGGAGAGGUAAGCACAGCUGGUGAGCACACGGGGACAGCGACGGAGCUCAUGGAGACCCAGGUGACCUUAAAACACCCCAGGGCCGGCUCCGGCCCCAGAGAGAUGUGGUCCGAGUAGAGGGGGGUCAGCAGUGACCUGGUGGGUGGGUGUAUUUGAGGGGUGCCUGUGUUGAAAGCUCUGCAGUAGAUUCUAAGGAGCAGCCAGGGCUGAGACUCCCGGUGCUGAGCCCAAGGCCCCUUUCCUUCCUGCAGGAGUUCAUCUUGGCUCUUGCAGCCCCCAUGACCCUGUGGCGCUGGGGGGCGGCUAGCAUGAUGCUCCCCAUUUUUCAGGAGGGAAGCUGAGGCUCAGAGACAUCAUGAGGAUGCCAGCUCAAGGCCCAGCCAGGCCUUGGUCCUCAGCUGCUGUCAUCCAGUAGGGUAAGUGGGACCCCCAGGAGGUGUUGGGGGACACUCCUCCCCUCCCCCACACUCACAGUCUGUUCACCGCCCAAGGCAGCAGGCUGGACUCGGUGCAGGGACCAUGGCUUGGCGUGGCCAGGUUGGAGUGGCCCCUGGGACUGAAAGCAGGGGGCGUGGGGGCUCUGAGGCGGGGCCGAGUGCGGGGACGUCCUGUGGCGGGUACCCUGCUGGGUCCUGGGUGGGGGCCACCACCAGGCAGCUGUGGGAACAUUCCAGACCACCUAGGAGUAGGGCCCCUUCACCGUUUGAAGCUGACUGUAAAAAACAUCUGACCUGUGUGCAAAGCUCAAGCCCAGAGGCCUCCAGGGUGUCCAGCCUCCAGGGUGCCUCCUACGCAGCCUCCACGUCCCCAUCCACUGCAGCCCCUGACCAUCGGGCACACCGUGGGGCCUUCGCUGGCCGCCGGGCCUCAGGUUCUGCUGCACCAAGUGAUUUUUAAAGCCCCAUCUGCCUUUCUCCACUUAUAAAGAACUUGGGACAUU